rnacentral:tRNA from 1 species
GCCUGGGUGGCUCAGUUGGUUAAGCAUCCGACUUUGACUCAGGUCAUGAUCUCGUGGUUCGUGAGUUCAAACCUCGUGUCAGGCU